rnacentral:rRNA from 1 species
GCUAGCAGCUAUAUCACCCUGCAGCUCACAACUGGCAGCCCACUGAAGCUCAGCAGGUGUGAGCCUGGUCAGUAACUGGAUGGGAGACAAUCUGGUAAAACUAAGGUUGCUGCAGGAA